GUCCUAGCCCUAAACGAUGAAUACUUGGUGUCUGGAGUUUUUAUCCUCCGGGUGCCGUCGCUAACGUUUUAAGUAUUCCGCCUGGGGAGUACGCACGCAAGUGUGAAACUCAAAGGAAUUGACGGGGACCCCGCACAAGCGGUGGAGCAUGUGGUUUAAUUCGACGCAACGCGAAGAACCUUACCUGGACUAGAAUGUGAGGGAAGGACUUCUAAUAGAGUCCGUCCGGGCAACCGGACCCGAAACAAGGUGCUGCAUGGCUGUCGU
rnacentral:rRNA from 1 species